UUGGAGAUGGCUCAGUGAUAGAGCACAUGUUUUGCAUGUGAAAGGUUUCAGGUUCAAUCCCUGUCAUCUCCAGG